rnacentral:rRNA from 1 species
GAUGAACGCUGGCGGCGUGCCUAAUACAUGCAAGUAGAACGCUGAAGGAAGGAGCUUGCUCUUUCCGGAUGAGUUGCGAACGGGUGAGUAACGCGUAGGUAACCUGCCUGGUAGCGGGGGAUAACUAUUGGAAACGAUAGCUAAUACCGCAUAACAGUAGAUGUUGCAUGAUAUCUACUUAAAAGGUGCAAUUGCACCACUACCAGAUGGACCUGCGUUGUAUUAGCUAGUUGGUGAGGUAACGGCUCACCAAGGCGACGAUACAUAGCCGACCUGAGAGGGUGAUCGGCUACACUGGGACUGAGACACGGCCCAGACUCCUACGGGAGGCAGCAGUAGGGAAUCUUCGGCAAUGGACGGAAGUCUGACCGAGCAACGCCGCGUGAGUGAAGAAGGUUUUCGGAUCGUAAAGCUCUGUUGUAAGAGAAGAACGGGUGUGAGAGUGGAAAGUUCACACUGUGACGGUAUCUUACCAGAAAGGGACGGCUAACUACGUG